ACGGCUGGCAGUUAACGCCUCUGACCGAUGUCCACUAACUGCCGUGCUUUUAUUUUGGCAGUGCCUCCCACUAUGUGAAGAAUGAACUGUGAUUUUAUUCUUGAACAUAUUAGUUGGAAGAUUGUGUUGUUUGGUGUACAGAAGAAAAAACAUGAUUAAAGCUGCAGUGGCGCUAUGGAUCCACCGGGCCUGGACGGAAACAAUCAAUCAGAUAUAAAUACACAUACAAUACAUACAAUGUGGUAUUACAGCUAAUCUACACUAAAAUGUGUUAUAUUUUAGGUGAGAAAUAGGCAUCGCAGUAACUGAUCUGAGUUUCUGUGCGUUGGACGGACUCACUGAGAAUGAGCUGUCAAUCCUGAGGUAGCCACGCCAAAAAGCAUACCUCUCUUUAUCUGUCUGUUUUACCCUAAAUUGGACCAUAAUUUACUAAAUUAACAUCAUAAUGUAUGAAAGAAGACUUGAAACUAGUAGUUGAGACCAUAAACUCAUAAGGAAACUGUUUAUUGAGCUAAUAAAUCAAAUGAGAAGUCGGAUCAUUUCUCUAUUAGAGUGUAUGGUAAUGGCGAAUGGAGCUCCCCCUGCUGGCCAUUACAUAGAAUAUAAGUUUAUAUAAAUUCUUCCUGCCAGCAUUAUAUUUUUAUUUGCCUUUUUCUUUUUUAUGUAUUCCUCCUUUCUUUUAUAUAAACUGUAAACUGUAACCUGUCUUUAUUAUGAGCAAUAAAGGAAAAAAAGUUAA